AGUGAACGCUGGCGGUAGGCCUAACACAUGCAAGUCGAACGGCAGCACAGUAAGAGCUUGCUCUUACGGGUGGCGAGUGGCGGACGGGUGAGGAAUACAUCGGAAUCUACUUUUUCGUGGGGGAUAACGUAGGGAAGCUUACGCUAAUACCGCAUACGACCUACGGGUGAAAGCAGGGGAUCUUCGGCCCUUGCGCGAUUGAAUGAGCCGAUGUCGGAUUAGCUAGUUGGCGGGGUAAAGGCCCACCAAGGCGACGAUCCGUAGCUGGUCUGAGAGGAUGAUCAGCCACACUGGAACUGAGACACGGUCCAGACUCCUACGGGAGGCAGCAGUGGGGAAUAUUGGACAAUGGGCGCAAGCCUGAUCCAGCCAUACCGCGUGGGUGAAGAAGGCCUUCGGGUUGUAAAGCCCUUUUGUUGGGAAAGAAAAGCAGCAGGUUAAUACCCCGCUGUUCUGACGGUACCCAAAGAAUAAGCACCGGCUAACUUCGUG
rnacentral:rRNA from 1 species